rnacentral:rRNA from 1 species
UACAGAGGGUGCAAGCGUUAAUCGGAGUUACUGGGCGUAAAGGGCGCGUAGGUGGUUAUGUAAGUGAGAUGUGAAAUCCCUGGGCUUAACCUAGGAACUGCAUCUUAUACUGCAUAACUGGAGUACUGUAGAGGGUAGUGGAAUUUCCGGUGUAGCGGUGAAAUGCGUAGAGAUCGGGAAGGAACACCAGUGGCGAAGGCGGCUACCUGGACAGAUACUGACACUGAGGCGCGAGAGCGUGGGGAGCAAACAGG